rnacentral:rRNA from 1 species
AUACGUAGGGGGCGAGCGUUGUCCGGAAUGAUUGGGCGUAAAGGGCGCGUAGGCGGCCCGGUAAGUCUGGAGUGAAAGUCCUGUUUUUAAGAUGGGAAUUGCUUUGGAUACUGUCGGGCUUGAGUGCAGGAGAGGUAAGUGGAAUUCCCAGUGUAGCGGUGAAAUGCGUAGAGAUUGGGAGGAACACCAGUGGCGAAGGCGACUUACUGGACUGUAACUGACGCUGAGGCGCGAAAGCCAGGGGAGCGAACGGGAUUAGAUACCCCGGUAGUCCUGGCCGUAAACGAUGAAUGCUAGGUGUGGGUGUCGAGAGGCAUCCGUGCCGGAGUUAACGCGAUAAGCAUUCCGCCUGGGGAGUACGAUCGCAAGAUUGAAACUCAAAUGAAUUGACGGGG